rnacentral:rRNA from 1 species
UGGUGGGGUGACUUGUCUGCUUAAUUGCGAUAACGAACGAGACCUUAACCUGCUAAAUAGCUCGCAUUGCUCCGGCAGUGCGCUGGCUUCUUAGAGGGACUUUCGGCUCAAGCCGAAGGAAGUUUGAGGCAAUAACA